rnacentral:rRNA from 1 species
GACAGAGGGUGCGAACGUUGUUCGGAAUCACUGGGCGUAAAGGGCGUGUAGGCGGGAAGGAAAGUCAGAUGUGAAAGCCCUGGGCUCAACCCAGGAACUGCAUUUGAAACUCCCUUUCUUGAGUGUCGGAGAGGAAAGCGGAAUUCCUGGUGUAGAGGUGAAAUUCGUAGAUAUCAGGAGGAACACCGGUGGCGAAGGCGGCUUUCUGGACGACAACUGACGCUGAGACGCGAAAGCGUGGGGAGCAAACGGG